rnacentral:rRNA from 1 species
UACGAAGGGGGCUAGCGUUGUUCGGAAUCACUGGGCGUAAAGCGUAUGUAGGCGGAUCGUUAAGUCGGGGGUGAAAUCCCGAGGCUCAACCUCGGAACUGCCUUCGAUACUGGCGAUCUUCGAGUCCGGGAGAGGUGAGUGGAACUCCGAGUGUAGAGGUGAAAUUCGUAGAUAUUCGGAAGAACAACAGUGGCGAAGGCGGCUCACUGGCCCGGGACUGACGCUGAUAUACGAAAGCGUGGGGAGCAAACAGG